GCAGCUGUAGACAAUGUGAAAACAAAUGAGCUUAGCUGUGUUCCGAUACAAUUUAUUUGCACAGGUUAUGGCCCAGACUUGGCCCAUGUACCACAGUUCCCUGACCGCUGUUUUUUAUGAAGUAAAUCUGAUUCUUGGUUAAGGUCCACCAACUGGGAUAGAUAAAAGUGGAUGUUACCAGAUGUGUACAAGAAAAAGUCACGCCAGAAAGAAGAGAAGAGGAGACGGGGAGUCCCAGUGUGGGGAAGACAAAGAAUCUUCUCCUCUGCCAAACUUUACAUGUCAAAGACGUUCUGGAGGCUGGGAAAUCCAAGAUCAAGGUGCCAGCAGAUUUGACAUCUGUUGAGGGCUUCCUGGUUCACAGAUGGCUGUGUUCUUGCUGUGACGUUACAUGGUGGAAAGGACAAGACACGACGACAUAUUCCACCGAGCGAUCCGAGCACUUCAAACCCUGCCGAGACAAGGACCUUGCAUACUGUCUCAAUGAUGGCGAGUGCUUUGUGAUCGAAACCCUGACUGGAUCCCAUAAACACUGUCGGUGCAAAGAAGGCUACCAGGGAGUCCGUUGUGAUCAAUUUCUGCCGAAAACUGAUUCCAUCUUAUCGGAUCCAAGUAGGUCAAGCACUUUUCUUCUCUCUCUGAACACAGUGUAUAGGCAGCCCUUACUCUGAGCGAUGGUUGCUAGCUCGGCUGAAGGCUGAAUGUCAGUCAUGUGUCUCUGAAAGAUGCUAAGGGUGGAAACUGGUGGCACAAGUUGGAGUUCACAGAUUGCUCAACACCAACUCAAUUCAUUCUGGGUCUAGGUCUUCUCCAGCGAUGGGGCUGAUGUCCAGAUUCAGCUCCAUCACUAACCUAAGCUGGAGACUCCAGGAAAUCCUGCUCCGUUAGCUUUCAGGCUCCCCCUCCCCAACCCGAUUACAAAAGCAAGGAUACAGAUAAAUGAAAGAAUUUAUUAUUUAUCCAAAAGAAUGUUAUAGAAACUACCAUAUCAUAUUGGUUCUUACCGUCUAGUUGGUAAUUUGAGAUAAUAUUAAACCUAUUAACCUUUACCUUACUGAAGUAAGAAAAUAUGCAUGUCAAUUUAUAUGUUUUCAAACAAACGUCGCA